rnacentral:rRNA from 1 species
UACAGAGGAGGCAAGCGUUAUUCGGAAUUAUUGGGCGUAAAGCGUCCGUAGGUGGUUGGUCAAGUCAGGCGUCAAAGCGCUGGGCUUAACCUCAGAAAGGCGGUGGAUACUGGUAGGCUCGAGUGUGGUAGGGGGUAGUGGAAUUCCCAAUGUAGCAGUGAAAUGCGUAGAUAUUGGGAGGAACAUCAGUGGCGAAAGCGGCUUCCUGGGCCAGCACUGACGCUGAGGGACGAAAGCGUGGGGAGCGAACGGG